UUUUCAAAUUCAUUAUUUUUAAAUUUAUUUACAUUUUAUUUUGCCUUAUAUAUUUUUAAAUUCAUUGGUCUUUGAUUGUUGAUGCUAGUAUUUAAAUAAUUGCCAUUAUGUGUUUUAUAAUUUGUUUAUUUGUAUUUUAAUAUUGACUUUUUUUAUCAAAGUUUUUUACGUAUCGUUUUAAUAUUGCAUCAAUUUGCCCCAAUUUUAAAAAAGAAAACUUUUAAAAAUAAGGCAAUAUUUGAUACUUUGGAGCUUUAAAAAAAUCGUGCCCUAACUUACUGGGUUUCGAUUUUUUUGAUAUAAAUAACCGAAUAUCCUCUUUAAACUUUAAUGCAUAAUGCAAGCUUAGUUUCGAGAGUUAAAAUAUUAUAUCCUAACUUACUAGAUGUGACAUCUUAUUACUUCGGAACAAGGAGGUCUUAACAUCAUAUUUGAUUUAUUCAGAUUUUUCAAGUUUUUUAAAGAUCAUAUUUUAAAAUCUUUUUAAAUUUUCGACAUUAAGACGUUAAUUAAUUAAUUAGGUAUCAAUUUUUGGGCGUUACGAGAGUGCUAAUCUUUCCUCGUGUGUAAUCGACCCCCGAGCUCAUUUUCUCGAAUUUUGUAGACCAAAUUCAUUAUUUUAAUAAAUAAAAAUGUUUUAUUAAAAUGAUUAAUCUCAAGGUGACCUGAUCACACCUCAAAAAAAGAUUGGUGGCGACUCCAUUUUCGUUUUAAAAGUUGACCCUGUUUUUCAAAAUAAAAAUAGUUUCGACGGAGUCAAGAUUAGGAACAAAUCUUUCUUGUAUCUGGAAGAGCGUUUGGGCGGCGAAAGGAUGGCUUAAAUUAGGCAUGUGUUGGAGGGUGGGAAUGGGAAUUAGAAUAUUGAUCUGGAAUGAUGCCUGGGUGAAAAACUUGGAGAACUACAAGCUUCAAAGAAAUGUAAUGGGUCAAAUUUAAGAUUGGUGCUACUAUAAGAAUCUACAAAUUUGGUGCCUAAUCUCUACCAAAUUUCAUCCAAGCAAGUGUUCAAGAAACUAUGGCAGACAGAGCUACCGAAAAAAUAAAAAUUACAUUCUGGAGAGUUUACAAAAACUUCAUUCCUACUUACAACAAUCUACAAAAAAGAAGAUUGAGGAGCUCGGCAGCAUGUCCUAGAUGCUCUAAUGGAGAAGAGUACCUAGAACAUGUUUUUCGUGAUUGUCAAGCUGUCAAGUAAAUAUGGAGCAUGUUAAAUGUCAAAUGGCCUACAAACAAUUCAAAUGAGUGUUAUAGACAGUGGAUGGAUUGGUUGUUCAUAGAAUAUUCUACAAAUAUAUGCAGGAUAACAAUAUGUGCAAUUUGGGCGAUCUGGGAGACAGAAACAAACAGGUGCAUGAAAGAAAAUAUCGAUAGAAUACAGAAAAGGUGCAUUUUAUCACAUCAUUCUUACAGGAACUUGAAGAGGUAAAAGUUCGUCACCUGUCAGACGUACUCAACCAGAGAGAUGGGGCCACCAGAAACGUCUUUUGUGAAGAUAAACUUCGAUGCAUCUUUUCUAGGUUGUUCGUACAAAUCCUGUUCGAGGUUGGUGGGGCGAGAGUUAGAAGGAAAAAAAUUUGGGAAUGAGAAUGAUAAUAAACAAUCAUGUACCAACCUCUUUUGCGGCAGAAGCGAUUAGGUGCCUCCAAGGAAUCCAAAUGGGUCUGGAUCUAGGAUUUCGGAAAGUGGUGGUUGAAGAGGAUAGUAUCAAUGUGAUAAAGAAACUGCAAAACCAAAAGGAAGACAUGUCUAUGAUUAGAGAUUACAUAGAAGAUGCGAGAAUAGAAAGUCGAGAUUUUGAGGAAUGCAUGUUCAGAUAUGUUGGAAGAAAUGCUAAUGAAACUGCCAAUUGACUAGCAAAAGAAAGUAUAAGUAGAGGAGAAACCACUUAUUUGAUGGAGAGAAUGCCCACGUCUGUGAUGGAAGCGGCAAAGGAAGACAACCAAUGAUCUGAGAUGAUGGAACAACUGGGAAAUGGCAACCGUCGAGGGAAUUUGGGGAUGGGUUCAGGAGAGAUGGAAAUGUUUUCUUAAAGAGAGUGUUCUAUUCCAUUAAGAAGCUGUUGAUUUUAUCUCUUCUGCUUUGGGUAGGUAGGUGCUCUUUUCUAGGCGGGUCUUUGUGCAUUUUACUAGGCUUGGC
rnacentral:lncRNA from 1 species